rnacentral:rRNA from 1 species
CCUGGCUCAGGAUGAACGCUAGCGGCAGGCUUAAUACAUGCAAGUCGAGGGCAGCAUGACUGUAGCAAUACAGUUGAUGGCGACCGGCAAACGGGUGCGGAACACGUACAGAACCUUCCUUCGAGCGGGGAAUAGCCCAGAGAAAUUUGGAUUAAUACCCCAUAGUAUAUUAGAGUGGCAUCACUUUGAUAUUAAAGAUUUAUCACUUGAAGAUGGCUGUGCGGCUGAUUAGGUAGUUGGCGGGGUAACGGCCCACCAAGCCUUCGAUCAGUAACUGGUGUGAGAGCACGACCAGUCACACGGGCACUGAGACACGGGCCCGACUCCUACGGGAGGCAGCAGUAAGGAAUAUUGGUCAAUGGACGAAAGUCUGAACCAGCCAUGCCGCGUGGAGGAUGAAGGUCCUCUGGAUUGUAAACUUCUUUUAUAUGGGACGAAAAAAGGGUUUUCUAACUCGUCUGACGGUACCAUAUGAAUAAGCACCGGCUAACUCCGUG